UACGGGGGGGGCAAGCGUUGUUCGGAAUUACUGGGCGUAAAGGGCUCGUAGGUGGCCAACUAAGUCAGACGUGAAAUCCCUCGGCUUAACCGGGGAACUGCGUCUGAUACUGGAUGGCUUGAGUUUGGGAGAGGAAUGCGGAAUUCCAGGUGUAGCGGUGAAAUGCGUAGAUAUCAGGAGGAACACCCGUAGCGAAGGCGGCACUCUGGGCCGGAACUGACGCUGAGGAGCGAAAGCGUGGGGAGCGAACAGG
rnacentral:rRNA from 1 species